GUUAGAGCGCACGCCUGAUAAGCGUGAGGUCGGAGGUUCAAGUCCCCCCAAGCCCACCA
rnacentral:tRNA from 1 species